rnacentral:rRNA from 1 species
ACUCCAGACUCCUACGGGAGGCAGCAGUGGGGAAUAUUGCACAAUGGGGGAAACCCUGAUGCAGCGACGCCGCGUGAGUGAAGAAGUAAUUCGUUACGUAAAGCUCUAUCAGCAGGGAAGAAGAUGACGGUACCUGAGUAAGAAGCCCCGACUAACUACGUGCCAGCAGCCGCGGUAAUACGUAGGGGGCAAGCGUUAUCCGGAUUUACUGGGUGUAAAGGGAGCGUAGACGGCAGUGCAAGUCUGGAGUGAAAGGCGGGGGCUCAACCCCGGACCUGCAUUUGAAACUGUUGGUCUUGAGUAUCGGAGAGGCAGGCGGAAUUCCUAGUGUAGCGGUGAAAUGCGUAGAUAUUAGGAGGAACACCAGUGGCGAAGGCGGCCUGCUGGACGACAACUGACGGUGAGGCGCGAAAGCGUGGGGAGCAAACAGGAUUAGAUACCCUUGUA